UGGAACAGUGAUGAGCCAAAUAGACCUGUAAUGAUUUGCGGUAAUGAUCGCAACACAUAAACAUCCAAGGGACUGAGUUUCG